UACGUAGGGUGCAAGCGUUGUCCGGAAUUAUUGGGCGUAAAGAGCUUGUAGGCGGUUUGUCGCGUCUGCUGUGAAAUUUCGGGGCUCAACCCCGAACUUGCAGUGGGUACGGGCAGACUGGAGUGCGGUAGGGGAGAAUGGAAUUCCUGGUGUAGCGGUGGAAUGCGCAGAUAUCAGGAGGAACACCGAUGGCGAAGGCAGUUCUCUGGGCCGUAACUGACGCUGAGGAGCGAAAGCGUGGGGAGCGAACAGG
rnacentral:rRNA from 1 species